GCCUUCGCUCCCGCGCUAGAGAGAAACAUGUAUCGUUUCCGCUCGCAGCUCUUCACGGGGAUUUCUGCUGCUGCUGCUGCCGCUUCUCACCCGCGCCGCUCCUCGCCUCUCUUGUUAGCCCGAGACUCGCCUCUCAGCCGCCCGCCGCACAGACGCACGAGUAGACAGUGCAGCUCCAUCGGCUGAUCCUCGCUGAGCUCCAAGUGUAGGCGGCACCGGGCGGCCCACGAUGCCGAAGAACAAGAAGCGGAACGCUCCCCACCGCGGUGGCGGGGGUGGCGGCGGCUCCGGGGCAGCGACGUCGGCGGCCACGGCAGGUGGCCCGCAUCGGACUGUUCAACCUUUCAGUGAUGAAGAUGCAUCCAUUGAAACAAUGAGCCACUGCAGCGGCUAUAGCGAUCCUUCCAGUUUUGCGGAGGAUGGGCCAGAAGUUCUUGAUGAGGAAGGAACUCAAGAAGACUUAGAGUACAAGUUGAAGGGAUUAAUUGACCUAACCCUUGAUAAGAGUGCGAAGACAAGACAGGCAGCUCUUGAAGGUCUUAAGAAUGCACUGUCUUCAAAAGUGCUGUAUGAGUUUGUUCUCGAGAGAAGAAUGACUUUAACUGAUAGCAUUGAGCGCUGUCUGAAAAAAGGAAAGAGUGACGAGCAGCGUGCGGCUGCAGCUGUCGCAUCUGUUCUUUGUAUUCAGCUGGGCCCUGGAUUUGAGAGUGAAGAGAUUUUAAAGACUCUUGGACCAAUCCUAAAAAAAAUAAUUUGUGAUGGAGCAGCUAGUAUCCAGGCUAGGCAGACUUGUGCAACUUGCUUUGGUGUUUGCUGUUUUAUUGCCACAGAUGAUAUCACUGAGCUGUAUUCAACUCUGGAAUGCUUCGAAAAUAUCUUCACCAAGUCCUAUCUUAAAGAGAAAGACACUAAUGUUACUUGCAGCACUCCAAAUACAGUGCUUCACAUCAGCUCGCUUCUCGCGUGGACAUUAUUACUGACCAUAUGCCCAAUCAAUGAGGUGAAGAAAAAGCUGGAGCUGCAUUUCCAUAAACUUCCAAGCCUCCUUUCUUGUGAUGAUGUAAACAUGAGAAUUGCUGCUGGCGAAUCUUUGGCACUUCUGUUUGAAUUGGCCAGAGGAAUGGAGAGACUUUUUUUAUGAAGAUAUGGAUUCUUUGACCCAGAUGCUCCGGGCUCUGGCUACAGAUGGAAAUAAACACCGUGCCAAAGUGGACAAGAGAAAGCAGCGGUCUGUCUUCAGAGACGUUCUGAGGGCUGUGGAGGAACGGGAUUUUCCAACAGAAACUGUUAAAUUUGGUCCUGAGCGCAUGUAUAUUGAUAGCUGGGUCAAAAAACAUACCUAUGACACGUUUAAAGAGGUUCUUGGAUCAGGGAUGCAGUACCACUUGCAGGUGAACAAAUGAAUUCCUUCGAAAUGUAUUUGAGCUUGGACCCCCUGUGAUGCUUGAUGCUGCAACACUUAAAACCAUGAAGAUUUCUCGUUUUGAAAGGCAUUUAUAUAACUCUGCAGCUUUCAAAGCUCGAACAAAAGCUCGAAGCAAAUGCCGAGAUAAGAGAGCAGAUGUUGGAGAAUUCUUGUAGAUGUCUGAAUUUGAUGGCUGUUUUCUAAUCUCUUCCUUUAUUAUUAUUUUUGCUACUUCUAAUGUAUAUAAGCUUUUAGAGACAGUUUUUUAUCUUGGUCAACUUAAAUAAUUUUUGAUGUAGGGGUGGGUUGUAUUUUAAUUUAAUGUACAGUGUUACAAAUUAAUGAGUUCUUUAUUCUCUGUAAAAAUAACUGGUAACCACAAAUAAAGUGUUUGUGAUGUUUGGUCGUA